UGUCAUUUCUAUUUAAGGCAGUAGCUGAGUGAAGAUAAAAAUAGUAUCGUGUUUGUUAUGAGCUAAAAGACUGUACGAUUGUGUGUGAUAGAGUUUCUCUCAAGCUAGCCUGUAGAUCAAUUCAAGUACUGCUGCUUAGUGAUAACCAUGAUUACCUUGACUGUGAUAUGCCUACUAACUUUGCAAUCAAAUUCUCCUCUGUGGAGUACAGAUGCUGUGCUCAGUCCCCCUCCGCCCACACUCACACACACACACACUCUCACACAGUACUACGGCAUCAUCCCCAUUAUAGCGAUCACAGUCAUCCUUCUAGUGGCCUCGCUCAGUCUACUGUUCUGCUGCAUUAUAUUCUGUUAUGCCAGAAGGCAAUACACUACAUCGAUGUCAAUACAGUAGAACCUCGAUUAUCCGGACACCUUGGUUCCAGAAGCAGGCCGGAUAAGUGAAUAUGCCGGAUAAUCGAAGAGAUAAACUACACCUUGAUCCACCCACUUUAUUGAUAAACAGCGGUGCCACAUGGUUGUAUGCGCAUGCGCAGAAGAUAAGCAGGCAUGUCUCCAUGGUAACAGCUGCAACGCGCAUGCGCGUUUGAGGGACACGCCCAUUUUCUGAUCUGAUAACAAGAAAACUGCUUAGCCGGAUAAUCGAGGUUCCGGAUAAUGGAGGGCCGGAUAAUCGAGGUUCUACUGUAAUGAGACAUUCCACUACAACUCAGCCUAUCCUGCCGACCAUAGUAGCGUACAGAGACGAGGCCAGUAGUGAGGACGAUGGGAGGUCAGCUAGUGUGUGUUGUGUGUUGAGGGAAACUAACGCUUACAGUGAACACUUGAAGAGAUUCAGCAUCGAACACGGACUGGAUGAUAAUGCAACUCGGACCAGCGACUUAUUUGAAUUUCACGCCUACCCACACCGUCCACACUACAACAGUACAUCGGAACUUUAGCUACUUAUAAUUAUAUAAACACAAUGUCAUUCAUAUAUAAUCAUAUUAAAAACAACUAUGUCAGGUUUCAAUAUAA